rnacentral:rRNA from 1 species
GGGGGGGGGGGGGGGGGGGGGGGGGGGGGGGGGGGGGGGGGGGGGGGGGGCGUCGCUUUGGGGGGGUGGGGGUGGGUGGCGAACGGGUGGGGAACACGUGCGUAGCCUGCCGCCCUCUUCUGGCAAACCGCAUGAGAGUGUGGCUAGUCCGGGCUAUUCUGAGUCUGUCGCAUGAUGGGUCUGGGAACGAUAUUGUUCCGGUCGUGGAUGGGCUCGCGGCCCAUCAGCUUGUUUGUGGGGUGAUGGCCUACCAAGGCGGUGACGGGUCGCCGGCCUGCGAGGGUGGCCGGUCACACUGGGACUGAGACACGGCCCAGACUCCUACGGGAGGCAGCCGUGGGGAAUAUUGCACAAUGGGCGCAAGCCUGAUGCAGCGACGCCGCGUGAGGGAUGGAGGCCUUCGGGUUGUGAACCUCUUUCGCCAGUGAAGCAGGCCUGCCUCGUUUGUGGGUGGGUUGACGGUAGCUGGAUAAGAAGCGCCGGCUAACUACGUG